ACGCUCGACACCUACGGGAGGCAGCAGUGAGGAAUAUUGGUCAAUGGACGCAAGUCUGACCAGCCAUGCCGCGUGCAGGAUGACGGCUCUAUGAGUUGUAAACUGCUUUUGUACGAGGGUAAACGCAGAUACGUGUAUCUGUCUGAAAGUNUCGUACGAAUAAGGAUCGGCUAACUCCGUGCCAGCAGCCACGGUAAUCUGAGCGGCUGCAAGGC
rnacentral:rRNA from 1 species